AGUGGCGCACGGGUGAGUAACACGUGGGUAAUCUUCCCUGUGGCGGGGGAUAACCUUCCGAAAGGAGGGCUAAUACCGCAUAAGACCACGGGCUCGAAAGAGCCUGAGGUAAAAGCUGGCCUCUAUACAUAAGCUAGCACCAGAGAAUGAGUCCGCGGCCUAUCAGCUAGUUGGUAGGGUAAUGGCCUACCAAGGCAAAGACGGGUAGCUGGUCUGAGAGGAUGAUCAGCCACACUGGAACUGAGACACGGUCCAGACUCCUACGGGAGGCAGCAGUGGGGAAUCUUGCGCAAUGGACGAAAGUCUGACGCAGCGACGCCGCGUGGGUGAUGAAGGCCUUCGGGUUGUAAAGCCCUGUGGGGAGGGACGAAUAAGUGCGGGCUAAUACUCCGCAUGAUGACGGUACCUCCUUAGCAAGCACCGGCUAACUCUGUGCCAGCAGCCGCGGUAAGACAGAGGGUGCAAACGUUGUUCAGAAUUACUGGGCGUAAAGCGUGUGUAGGCGGCCAUGCAAGUCGGAUGUGAAAGCCCUGGGCUCAACCCAGGAAGUGCACCCGA
rnacentral:rRNA from 1 species